rnacentral:tRNA from 1 species
CAAAGUAUAGCUAAAUAGUUUAGUAUUUCAUUUACAUUGAAGUGUGUUAUCGUGCAAGUCGGUUUACUUUGAG